UACGUAGGUCCCGAGCGUUGUCCGGAUUUAUUGGGCGUAAAGCGAGCGCAGGUGGUUUAAUAAGUCUGAUGUAAAAGGCAGUGGCUCAACCAUUGUGUGCAUUGGAAACUGUUAGACUUGAGUGCAGUAGAGGAGAGUGGAAUUCCAUGUGUAGCGGUGAAAUGCGUAGAUAUCGGGAGGAACACCAGUAGCGAAGGCGGCCAUCUGGCUGGUAACUGACGCUGAGGUGCGAGAGCGUGGGGAGCAAACAGG
rnacentral:rRNA from 1 species